UACAGAGGUCUCGAGCGUUAGGCGGAAUCACUGGGCGUAAAGAGCGUGUAGGCGGCCAAGCAGGUCCGUUGUGAAAACUGGAGGCUUAACCUCCAGACGUCGACGGAAACCGCGUGGCUAGAGUCCGGAAGAGGAGAGUGGAAUUCCUGGUGUAGCGGUGAAAUGCGCAGAUAUCAGGAAGAACCCCAAUGGCGAAGGCAGCUCUCUGGGACGGUACUGACGCUGAGACGCGAAAGCGUGGGGAGCGAACAGG
rnacentral:rRNA from 1 species